rnacentral:rRNA from 1 species
UACGAAGGGGGCUAGCGUUGCUCGGAAUCACUGGGCGUAAAGGGUGCGUAGGCGGGUCUUUAAGUCAGGGGUGAAAUCCUGGAGCUCAACUCCAGAACUGCCUUUGAUACUGAAGAUCUUGAGUUCGGGAGAGGUGAGUGGAACUGCGAGUGUAGAGGUGAAAUUCGUAGAUAUUCGCAAGAACACCAGUGGCGAAGGCGGCUCACUGGCCCGAUACUGACGCUGAGGCACGAAAGCGUGGGGGAGCAAACAGG